UCAGCAAGUCUCAAUAAGGUGUUGGGAUCAACAAGUCUCAAUAAGGUGUUGGUUAGUCAGGCUGAUCAGCAAGUCUCAAUAAGGUGUUGGGUUAGUCAGGCUGAUCAACAAGUCUCAAUAAGGUGUUGGGUUAGUCAGGCUGAUCAGCAAGUCUCAAUAAGGUGUUGGGUUAGUCAGACUGAUCAGCAAGUCUCAAUAAGGUGUUGGGUUAGUCAGACUGAUCAGCAAGUCUCAAUAAGGUGUUGGGUUAGUCAGACUGAUCAGCAAGUCUCAAUAAGGUGUUGGGUUAGUCAGACUGAUCAGCAAGUCUCAAUAAGGUGUUUAGUUAGUCAGGCUGAUCAACAAGUCUCAAUAAGGUGUUGGGUUAGUCAGGCUGAUCAGCAGGACUCAAUAAGGUGUUUGGUUAGUCAGGCUGAUCAGCAAGUCUCAAUAAGGUGUUGGGUUAGUCAGGCUGAUCAGCAGGACUCAAUAAGCUGUUGGGUUAGUCAGGCUGAUCAGCAAGUCUCAAUAAGGUGUUGGGUUAGUCAGGCUGAUCAGCAAGUCUCAAUAAGGUGUUGGGUUAGUCAGACUGAUCAGCAAGUCUCAAUAAGGUGUUGGGUUAGUCAGGCUGAUCAGCAAGUCUCAAGCCUCAAACACCUUAGUAAUAUAUUCUGUCCAUGGACUCAUGUUACUCAUUUUCACUGGGGUCUGCGUCCCAAAUAUCAACUCAUUCUACAUUUGACCAGGGCCCAUAUGGGGGAUAGGAAGUCAUUAAUGACCAGGGCCCAUAUGGGGGAAUAGGAAGUCAUUAAUGACCAGGGCCCAUAUGGGGGAAUAGGGUCCCAUUAGGGAUGCAUCUUUUCACUGGGACAUCCAGGGACUACAGCAGGUGUGUUCUCAGAAGGUGAAGCUUUUCACUGGGACAUCCAGGGAAUACAGCAGGUGUGUUCUACUGUUGCUUUCCUGUGGCGUUACCUCUUUAUUUUAGCCUUGGUGGGGUUUAUUUUAUGUAAAUCAAGGAGACGUGCUUUUGAUUUGUCUGUUGAGUGUAAGGGCUUGUCCCAAAUGUCACCCUAUUCCCUAUGUAGUGCGCUACCCUAUUCCCCAUGUAGUGCGCUACUAUGGGCCCUAUUCCCCAUGUAGUGCGCUACUAUGGGCCCUAUUCCCUAUGUAGUGCGCUAGUAUGGGCCCUAUUCCCCAUGUAGUGCGCUAGUAUGGGCCCUAUUCCCUAUGUAGUGCGCUACUAUGGGCCCUAUUCCCCAUGUAGUGCGCUAGUAUGGGCCCUAUUCCCUAUGUAGUGCGCUACUAUGGGCCCUAUUCCCCAUGUAGUGCGCUACUAUGGGCCCUAUUCCCCAUGUAGUGCGCUAGUAUGGGCCCUAUUCCCCAUGUAGUGCGCUAGUAUGGGCCCUAUUCCCUAUGUAGUGCGCUACCAUGGGCCCUAUUCCCUAUGUAGUGCGCUACUAUGGGCCCUAUUCCCUAUGUAGUGCGCUACUAUGGGCCCUAUUCCCUAUGUAGUGCGCUACUAUGGACCCUAUUCCCUAUGUAGUGCGCUACUAUGGGCCCUAUUCCCUAUGUAGUGCGCUACUAUGGGCCCUAUUCCCUAUGUAGUGCACUACUAUGGGCCCUAUUCCCUAUGUAGUGCGCUACUAUGGGCCCUAUUCCCUAUGUAGUGCGCUACUAUGGGCCCUAUUCCCUAUGUAGUGCGCUACUAUGGGCCCUAUUCCCUAUGUAGUGCACUAUAAUUGGAAUAAGGUGCCAUUAGGGAGACAAGCCAUCUCAGAACAUACGCUGUUAAACCAUUGAGUACAUAACUGUGCUGUUACAUAUUUAUAUAAUUUGUAAGUAUGCAUAUUAUAAUUAUUUUAUAUUUGUAUACAUGCACUAGUUUUUAAGUGUGCAUUUUUUCGGGACAUGAAUCAAACUGACAUGUAAAAAAGUUGAAAAAAAU
ensembl:lncRNA